rnacentral:misc_RNA from 1 species
UUUUUUGAGCCUUUUUGGGGGGGGAGGUGGGGGUGUGUGUGAUUGUUGGUGGGAUUGUUCCGUUGGGUGGAGCGUAUGUGUCUGAUAAUGGGGAAGUGGUCUGGGUGGGUGGCGGUGGCGGUGGUGGUGAUGUGGUGGUGGCCGCACGGGGACUUUGUGAAUAAAGUUGACAUAGAAUCUUAAUGGAUGCUGACAUGUUUUCUAUCCUUAAUAGUGAUGCUGUAGACUUGUAGCAUCAGCAUUUUCGGUCUAAUCAAUGUUUUCCUCUGUUUUGGGCCCAAGCACUUAUGUUGGAUUUGAUGGAUGGACAUGGUCAGUGUGAGUUUAAUUGCAGUGGUCCACGACUGAGACCAUACACGUCCAUAUUAUUACAUUUUUUUUUUGGCAUUUUACAAUGACUAUGGGAUUUGACAAUCUCUCUAUCUCUCUAUCUUUAAU